rnacentral:rRNA from 1 species
UACGUAGGGUGCGAGCGUUAAUCGGAAUUACUGGGCGUAAAGCGUGCGCAGGCGGUGAUGUAAGACAGAUGUGAAAUCCCCGGGCUCAACCUGGGAACUGCAUUUGUGACUGCAUUGCUGGAGUGCGGCAAAGGGGGAUGGAAUUCCGCGUGUAGCAGUGAAAUGCGUAGAUAUGCGGAGGAACACCGAUGGCGAGGGCAAUCCCCUGGGCCUGCACUGACGCUCAUGCACGAAAGCGUGGGGAGCAAACAGG